rnacentral:sRNA from 1 species
CCUCUUCGAUCUGCUGCGGACAGAUGAAGUGGAUGUGCGUGUCGAUGCCGCCGGCGGUGAGGAUCAUGCCCUCGCCGGCAAUCACUUCGGUGCUGGCGCCCAGGGCGAUGGUCACGCCGGGCUGGAUGUCCGGGUUGCCGGCCUUGCCGAUGGCGGCGAUGCGCCCGUGCUUGAGGCCUACGUCGGCCUUGACGAUGCCCCAGUGGUCGAGGAUCAGCGCGUUGGUGAUCACCGUGUCGACGACCUGCGCGGCGCACAGCUGGCUCUGGCCCAUGCCGUCGCGGAUG